rnacentral:rRNA from 1 species
UACCAGCACCCCGAGUGGUCGGGACGAUUAUUAGGCCUAAAGCAUCCGUAGCCGGUCCUGCAAGUCUUCCGUUAAAUCCAGCUGCUUAACAGAUGGGCUGCGGGAGAUACUACAGGGCUAGGAGGCGGGAGAGGCAAGCGGUACUUUAUGGGUAGGGGUAAAAUCCGCUGAUCCAUAGAAGACCACCAGUGGCGAAGGCGGCUUGCCAGAACGCGCUCGACGGUGAGGGAUGAAAGCUGGGGGAGCAAACCGG